GUGAGGAAUAUUGCGCAAUGGAGGCAACUCUGACGCAGCCAUGCCGCGUGCAGGAAGAAGGCGCUACGCGUUGUAAACUGCUUUUAACCGGGAAGAAACCCCAGGACGUGUCCUGGGUUGACGGUACCGGAGGAAUAAGCACCGGCUAACUUCGUGCCAGCAGCCGCGGUAAUACGAAGGGUGCAAGCGUUAUCCGGAUUCAUUGGGUUUAAAGGGUGCGUAGGCGGAGCGUUAAGGCAGUGGUGAAAUCCUGCAGCUUAACUGUAGACUUGCCAUUGAUACUGGCGCUCUUGAGUGCGCUUGAAGUGGGCGGAAUGUGCCGUGUAGCGGUGAAAUGCUUAGAUAUGGCACAGAACACCAAUUGCGAAGGCAGCUCACUAAGGCGAUACUGACGCUGAGGCACGAAAGCGUGGGGAUCGAACAGGAUUAGAUACCCUGGUAGUCC
rnacentral:rRNA from 1 species